AUUGAACGCUGGCGGCAUGCUUUACACAUGCAAGUCGAACGGUAACAGGCCUUCGGGUGCUGACGAGUGGCGAACGGGUGAGUAAUGCAUCGGAACGUACCCAGAGGUGGGGGAUAACGCAGCGAAAGCUGUGCUAAUACCGCAUGUGAUCUGAGGAUGAAAGCGGGGGACCGAGCAGCAAUGUUUGGCCUCGCGCCUUUGGAGCGGCCGAUGUCGGAUUAGCUAGUUGGUGGGGUAAAGGCCUACCAAGGCGACGAUCCGUAGCUGGUCUGAGAGGACGACCAGCCACACUGGGACUGAGACACGGCCCAGACUCCUACGGGAGGCAGCAGUGGGGAAUUUUGGACAAUGGGCGCAAGCCUGAUCCAGCAAUGCCGCGUGCGGGAAGAAGGCCUUCGGGUUGUAAACCGCUUUUGGCAGGAACGAAACGGUGUCCGCUAAUACCGGGCGCUAAUGACGGUACCUGCAGAAUAAGCAACGGCUAACUACGUG
rnacentral:rRNA from 1 species